GUCCUCCUGUCGUUCAUACGUGUGGUGACUGGUGAUCACACCCUGUGUGGGAUGCGCCUCCCUCAAACCUUGUUGCUUCAUCCACACUUUACCCGGCUGACG